UACGUAGGCAGCAAGCGUUAAUCGGAAUUACUGGGCGUAAAGCGUGCGCAGGCGGUUCGUGAUGUCUGGUGUGAAAGCCCCGGGCUUAACCUGGGAAUUGCAUUGGAAACUAGCGGGCUGGAGUGUGGCAGAGGGGGGUGGAAUUCCACGUGUAGCAGUGAAAUGCGUAGAGAUGUGGAGGAACACCGAUGGCGAAGGCAGCCCCCUGGGCUAACACUGACGCUCAUGCACGAAAGCGUGGGGAGCAAACAGG
rnacentral:rRNA from 1 species